GGUUGAUCCUGCCAGUAGUCAUAUGCUUGUCUCAAAGAUUAAGCCAUGCAUGUCUAAGUAUAAGCUUGUAUACGGUGAGACUGCGAAUGGCUCAUUAAAACAGUUAUAGUUUAUUUGCUGAACGUGUAUAUGGAUAACCGUAGCAAUUCUAGAGCUAAUACAUGCUGGUUGCGCUGCUCUGCAGCGUAGUAUUUAUUAGAUAAAAUGCCAUUGGCGCGAGCCAUGGAGGAAUCACAGUAACUUGUCGGACUUUUCGAAGUGAAGCAUUCAAGUUUCUGCCCUAUCAGCUUUC
rnacentral:rRNA from 1 species